UCUGUUUUUUUUGUCCCUGUUCAUUUUUAGCGCCUUUUCGUUUUUAGCUAGUCUCCCACACUCUCUCUCUUUCUCUCAGACAUCGAAAAUCUCCUCAGUGUCUCAUCUCUACCCCUACCCACAAACCCACAGCCAUAGCCACCACCACCACCACCACCUCCCGACCCCCGACCACAGCCACCACUACCUAGUUAGGUCCAAAAACAAAUGGGUCAGGUCUAGCCCGACCCAUUUCUCUUAUCAUUUCUAACCCUAACGGUUCAUCCCCUCUAAUCCUAUUUCGUUACGCACAACUCUUUUGUAUUCAUCGAUUCCUAUUUCUUUUUUCUGUUUAUUGUUAUCAAACCCUAAUUUCUUGUUUGGUACACCGCAGGACCGAAAGACUGGUCAAGGUUCAUCUUGGCACCGAUUGACGCUUCGCGAGAAAUUCAUCGCUUUGUCUAUCUCUCACUUGCGGCUAGGGAUUUAGAGGAAAUUCAAGAGCUGUUGAGGUUGGUCGAUGGCACUGUAAACCCUUCACUUUCUCAGAGAUUGCAAAGCCAGUGUCUCUGCAAACAGCAAGUUCUAAAUACCCAUCAACGAUUCCAGUCUCUGCUAAACAGGUUUAACGAAUUUGGAAAGUUUGAACUUGGAUUCCUGUGGGAUAGGUGAUGAAGGGCUUGCUAAUCUGACAGUGUCAAAUAAAAACUGCAUCAUCAAAAACCCUUACCGAGAUCUCUCUAAUCUAGCAGGACCGAAAGACUGGUUAAAAGAGCAAAAGAGGAAGUCCUCAAGGUUCAUCUUGGCACUGAUUGACACUUAUUAAGAAAUUCUUCGCUCUGUCUAUCUCUCACUCGGUCUGAUUCUCUAUUUCUCUCUGAUUCUUUGCUGUAAUUAUUAUUAUUUUGGUUUGAUUUGUUUUGGUUUUUGAAUAGCGGCAUCCCAUUUCCCCCACCAACACAAGAGUAAAUUAACACGGUUGAAUUUGAAGGAACGAAAUUGAAAAAUCUUGGCCCCAUUUCGUGGUUUCAUUGCCAGAGAGAAUUACAUUUUGCAUGUCAAGGAAUUAUGAGUAGCUGAGUGCUGUCUUUUAUGCUUUAAGGUUUCUCAGAAUUGCCAAAGUCAAAUGGUUUCCUAAUUAUUGAAUCAAAUGGUGGGUUGAACCAACAGCGCUUAUUGCUUGAUUUAAGAAUGCUGUCUACAAAGCACUGAAGCGGGCAACUGAAAAGGAGAUUUCUCAAAGUGCUGAUGUCAUCUGUUGCACAUGUGUUGGUGCUGGAGAUCCUUGAUUGGCAAAUUUUAGAUUGCAAAAAGAAGAGGCACUAUAAGUUUGUGUGAUCAAAGCAAGUGAAGUUGGUGAAAGACUUAAGGAUGCGCCUCUGAUCGAACAAUCUCCACCUCUCCCUAAAUCAUCAGCCGCAUCUCAUCAACCAAAAAGCUUAUAAGUUUUAUCUUGGAGUUCUUGGACUUUUUUGUGUGCAGAGAACUAUGGAAGAACAAACGCAUUUCUUGCAAGUGUUGAAAGAUAUUUUUAAACACUUUAGAAUUUUGAUUAUGGUAUUAGAUUAAUUUUAGCGGUUGUUUUAUUCAAAUGACCACAUCUCUUUUUUGUUAAUUUAAAGAUGGUGGUUAUAGUAUUUCAUAAUAUAUUUCUAUGUUAAUAUUACGUUAGUUUCAAGACAUUUGUGGUAUUUUGUUAGUAGAGCAAAACUAUUACAAGUCCUUUGUAACAGGUGUUAACUUA